AACGCGAAGAACCUUACCUGGGCUCGAAGCGCAGUGGACCGGGGUAGAAAUAUCCCUUCCCCUUAAAAGGCUGCUGCGGAGGUGCUGCAUGGCUGUCGUCAGCUCGUGUCGUGAGAUGUUGGGUUAAGUCCCGCAACGAGCGCAACCCUUAUCCCUAGUUGCCAUCGGGUCAAGCCGGGCACUCUAGUGAAACCGCCCCGGAUAACGGGGAGGAAGGUGGGGAUGACGUCAAGUCCUCAUGGCCUUUAUGUCCAGGGCUACACACGUGCUACAAUGGUCGGUACAAACCGUCGCAAACCCGCGAGGGGGAGCUAAUCGGAAAAAGCCGACCUCAGUUCGGAUUGGAGUCUGCAACUCGACUCCAUGAAGCUGGAAUCGCUAGUAAUCGCGGAUCAGAACGCCGCGGUGAAUACGUUCCCGGGCCUUGUACACACCGUACGUC
rnacentral:rRNA from 1 species